rnacentral:tRNA from 1 species
GAGGUUGUGGCUCAGCGGUAGAGUGCUCGUCUAUCACAUUCGAGGCCCUGGGUUCAAUCCUCAGCACCACA